AACAAAGUGAUCCAAAGGAACAAUGUUGGAAAGGUUUUAUGAAGAUACUGCAUUACAUAAAAUGAACAGUAGGUUAUUGGAUACAUUAUAAAAAUGAGGAAAACUAUGAAGCUGUAGUAGCUUAUGCUGAUGCUAACUGGGCGAAUAGCUCAGACAUAAGAUCAACAUAAGGAGAAUAUCAUGAAAUAUGAUCAAGAAAAAGUAUGAUAUGAGUUUAAUGUCCAGUAACCACUGAGUGUAUGAGACAGAGAACUACAUAAGGUGUGAAGAUGUGAUCAGAAAUUAGUUAUGGACUCAGUGAAGUAAUGCUCUUGGCAUUCAUCAAUGUAAAGACUUUUUAACAACAAAAUCAGUGCAAAUAUAAACCAAGGAAAAUCCAGAAUGGAAUAAUGACAGUAGUAUGAAAAGGAUAGUUUGCUACCCAACAUAUAGUGAAGAUGCUGAGUCACAGAC